rnacentral:rRNA from 1 species
AGAGUUUGAUCCUGGCUCAGGAUGAACGCUGGCGGCGUGCCUAAUACAUGCAAGUCGAGCGAACUGAUUAGAAGCUUGCUUCUAUGACGUUAGCGGCGGACGGGUGAGUAACACGUGGGCAACCUGCCUGUAAGACUGGGAUAACUUCGGGAAACCGAAGCUAAUACCGGAUAGGAUCUUCUCCUUCAUGGGGGAUGAUUGAAAGAUGGUUUCGGCUAUCACUUACAGAUGGGCCCGCGGUGCAUUAGCUAGUUGGUGAGGUAACGGCUCACCAAGGCAACGAUGCAUAGCCGACCUGAGAGGGUGAUCGGCCACACUGGGACUGAGACACGGCCCAGACUCCUACGGGAGGCAGCAGUAGGGAAUCUUCCGCAAUGGACGAAAGUCUGACGGAGCAACGCCGCGUGAGUGAUGAAGGCUUUCGGGUCGUAAAACUCUGUUGUUAGGGAAGAAUAAGUACAAGAGUAACUGCUCGUACCUUGACGGUACCUAACCAGAAAGCCACGGCUAACUACGUGCCAGCAGCCGCGGUAAUACGUAGGUGGCAAGCGUUAUCCGGAAUUAUUGGGCGUAAAGCGCGCGCAGGCGGUUUCUUAAGUCUGAUGUGAAAGCCCACGGCUCAACCGUGGAGGGUCAUUGGAAACUGGGGAACUUGAGUGCAGAAGAGAAAAGCGGAAUUCCACGUGUAGCGGUGAAAUGCGUAGAGAUGUGGAGGAACACCAGUGGCGAAGGCGGCUUUUUGGUCUGUAACUGACGCUGAGGCGCGAAAGCGUGGGGAGCAAACAGGAUUAGAUACCCUG